rnacentral:rRNA from 1 species
UACGUAGGGGGCAAGCGUUGUCCGGAUUUACUGGGCGUAAAGAGCGUGUAGGCGGCCAGACAGGUCAGCUGUGAAAACUCGAGGCUCAACCUCGAGACGUCGGUUGAAACCGUCUGGCUAGAGUCCGGAAGAGGAGAGUGGAAUUCCCGGUGUAGCGGUGAAAUGCGCAGAUAUCGGGAAGAACACCCGUGGCGAAGGCGGCUCUCUGGGACGGUACUGACGCUGAGACGCGAAAGCGUGGGGAGCGAACAGG